AAGCAUCAAUUCUUUGGUGCUCAGUCUUCUUUAUGGUCCAGCUCUCACAGCCAUACACGACUAUUGGAAAAACCCGUAGCUUUGACUCAAUGGGCCUUUGUUGGCAAAGUAAUGUCUCUGCUUUUUAAUAUGCUACCUAGGUUGGUCAUAGCUUUU